AUUGGAAACUGGGAGACUUGAGUGCAGAAGAGGAAAGUGGAAUUCCAUGUGUAGCGGUGAAAUGCGUAGAGAUAUGGAGGAACACCAGUGGCGAAGGCGACUUUCUGGUCUUAACUGACACACUGAGGCGCGAAAGCGUGGGGAGCAAACAGGAUUAGAUACCCUGGUAGUCCACGCCGUAAACGAUGAGUGCUAAGUGUUAGAGGGU
rnacentral:rRNA from 1 species